rnacentral:ncRNA from 1 species
UAGUUUAAUCGCGUUCCCAUCUUUGAGUGUGGGAAUUAAACUUUGUACAGUUCCUUUACCAAAACUGGUUUCUCCAAUAAUUUUUGCUCUUUUAUUUUCCUGUAAAGCUGCGGCAAGUACUUCAGAGGCAGAUGCCGAGCCUUUAUUGAUCAAAAUGGUCAUAGGGACAUUGGAUAACAUCGUUUUGGGCGAGGCAUAGUAUUCAGAAUUUGCAUCGAAGAAACGUCCCUCUGUUGAUACUAUUCUGCCUUUAGAUAGAAAAAUAUCUGCAAUUUUAAUGGCUUGAUCUAACAGUCCUCCUGGAUUGUUUC